UUUAAUUGCUUCCUCACCUGCAGUUCAGGGUCCUGAAGCACAAGAUAUAAAGUAAGAUUUCACAGGGUUUCCUAGCAGGCAGAAUUCGCUCUGCUGGUUAGGUUUCUCUACAGGACAUCACAGUUAUUUUGAACUGGUUUGUGUUGGUUUGAGCUCUUCUGCAAAACUUCAAGAUUCUUCAAGACUCAGGUUUCAGGUGGGCUUAGAUUAAUACAUUUUGCUCUCUCACAGGUGUAUAUAGCUGCUUAUGCUAGAGGCAAGAGUAGGACAAAGGUGGCUGAAGAUGUGAAAUAUAGCGGGCAAUGACUGCAUCUGGUGGAGAUUAGAGCCUAUUUGUGCAGAAACACUAUCUGAACACUAUCCCAGCAUUUAUUUGUGCACUGUGAGUGUUAAUACAACUCAGAGCCAUCUUCACAAGCUGCAUGAAAGUCUUUGUAGAAACUCUCAGGAAGCUUCUUAUUCUCUCAAAGCAAUUCCCAUUGGUUUCUAUAGAAGAUCCAAAGUGAUAUCAUGGGAGGUCAUAGGCCCAUUAAAAUUUACAAAUGAUAACUGUAGCUUCCCAAUAGUGAAACACUUUUACAGAGAUGCCCAGUAGAUUUAGACAAAAUUCAGUGUAUUCAAGCCUAAUCAGAAAUCACAGUGAGUGAGAAUAGUCACCAUUUUAAAAACAAUUGCAGCUUUCAUGAGUUAGGUGCAAUUUCAGGGCAAUCAUGUCAAUUCUGCAGAUAAUCAUUCUGCAAGAUUUGAAUAUAAAUUGUAUGAUAACAGAGAGAAAAAGCAAUUCUUUUUGAGUUCACAUGGUCGCAAGUGAAAGACAGAAGAAACAUUAGGGAGUCACUUUUAACAGAAGUACAGAUAGCAGAUGUUUAAUUAGCCUCAGACCAUACAUAUCUGACUGAAAAUGUGUCAAACAUAGGUAACACUUCCACAAGAGACUAGGCUGAUAAUCUGUACUUUCAGAAAAUAUGUAGAUAAAUCAUCCUGGCCACAAAUAAUCACAAACUGACUGCUGCAGGCCUACAUAGAGGAUAACUUUGGGCAUGAAAUAAAUUAUACAUUCAGUAAGGCUGUAGUUUGUGUAUGAUAGACUUUGCCCAUCAGAGUUGUGCAAUUUACAUUUAAUGAAAACAACCUACAGUAAGUUUCUGGGUUGCUUGGAUUUAUUUCCCAUCCAUCUGACUAAGAUGAAGACAUGUCAUUUUUAGGAUCUCUACUAGUAUAUUUGGGGAGCAAUUUUGUAGAGCUAUAUUAACAGGUAUAGGUUUUAAAGUUGCUUGACUUCUUGUGCCAAGAAGAGAGAAAAGACAGUGAUGGGUUGAUCAUUGGAAAGAUGGUGGGGCCAGGGAGAGUUAAAUGUAUAUAAGCAAUCCCAUUUCCAUACAAAUGAGACACCAGUUAGGGAACACACUUGCAUUUCUUCUUUAUCCAGUUGUUACAGACUCUACCAGCAUGUCUCUGGAGAUUUCUCCUCAGCUAUCAGCCUGCAGGAGAAUAAACAAACCCAGAUUUUUGACUGUAUGUCAUUUGUUUGAGUACACAGCUCCAAAAGAGACUGUCAACAAAUGCUCUUUAUGACUCAAACAGAUUUCUGAAAAGGCUACUUGAUGAAACUUACAAAUUUUCGUGUGCCUGGCCAUACUAAGGUUUCUCCUGGCCUCCAAUGCUUCUCAUGAAUCCCUGAAAUGCAGUUUUGAAGGUAUAGGGAAACACUUCAGCCAGAAGAAUGACAGCUUUGCUUAGUCCAGAAAUAAAUCUGAUUUAUGGUGGAACAAGACAAAGAAUUAAAGGACGGUCUUUGGAUACUCUGCUUUAAGGUGGAGACAAAUUAUUUUUAUACUUGGAUGCUCCUGUUUACAUUAUACCUGAUGUUAUUAGUUUAACAAGUUAAUAUUUAUUUGAACAAUCAUGAGAUAAGAAGAGAAUUUCAGAAUUGCUUCACAUCUAUAUUAGUAUAUUACAGGCUAAGUUGCAAAAGUUCUCUGACUUCCAGUUUGUCAGGAAAUAGAGAUGUGAUAGCUUAUCACACCACCAAAAAUUUCAUUUCAUUUUUUUUUCACUUUUCUCCCUAAGUAUUCAAAUCCUUUCUCAUUCACACACCUGUGAUCAAGUUACCGCUUAACUUUUAACUGCAAUAAGCAAAUAGAUUAAAUUUUGUAUCAUUUUCCUGCCGUUUAAUUUUUUUUCUUGAACUCUAGAGCAAAGCACAGUACAAAAGAGUAUUAGCCCUAGAGCAGGCUGUUUUAUUCCUGCAGUGGUGGUAUUGUUAACCUGUACAGAAAGAGUAUAUCCUUUCUGCUCAUGUGGUGUUUCUCUGCUUAUACAUCCUUUGGUUGAGAACCAGGUAGUUUCUUUACAGUCACAAACUGGUAUUUGAAGGGUGCUAUAAUGCACAUCAGAGCAGUGUACUGUGUGAUUCCACUUCCCUCAGGAGACAAAGUACAAAUUCAUUAAUUAUUCAAUCAGAUUUCAAUCCCUCUCUUUGUCUUUAUUAUAUAUUUAUCAUGGACUGUUGUUCUUGUUUUUAACAAUUAAAUAUUAUUUACAGUAUAUGAAACAGGUCCAUAACAGUACCAGUCAGUUUAAUAUCUUGAUUAAAUACUCUGUUCAUGCUUCUAUUAUGCAAAUGUCUUUAGAUUCUAAAUAAGUAAAAUAUAGUAAAAUUAGAAAGUAAAAAAUAAAAACAACAUAUAUAUUUAUAUAUAUAUGUAAUAUAUGUGUGUUAAUAGGUAUAUCAGUAAGUUAAAUAAGUACUUGUAGGUAUAACAAUUCUCAAACACUUUAACAUUUUAUAGUUUAUUUAAACACAAUAUUUAAAUAUCAAAAGAAUUAUUUUUUAAAUACUUAUUAAUACGGGGGGUUUUGUGACAUAAUCCUCCCUCACUCAGUUUCCUGUAACACAUUUGCCUUUUGAGUGUUGCCCCUCAGCUCUUCUUGUUUUUUUCCCAGAACCACAUUCUUCUUGUCCACGAAACUAUAGUGUGAUCAUACUUUGCUCAUAGGCACCUGUAGAAAUUAAUUUUUAAAGUAGAAAUGUGUUUUAGUGAUAAUUCUGUCUAGCAGACACAGAAUAAUCCUGAGCCAGUGGCAACACCUUGUUCGGAAAAGUAAUAUUUAGAGAUUUGACAGGUGUUUUGCCAUAAGCAGGGACAGCCCUAUGGUAUGUGACCUGAAAUUCCCUGUGAGAAUGCAGAUCCUUUCUGCACAUAAAGGAACUGCUUGUCUCUGUCCUUCCCGUGAUUUGGGCACAGCCACCCUGCAGGAAGUCCCAUCACUGAACCAGGGGCACUCCAUCCCUCCCCCUUCUGUUUGUCAGUAAUUACAGCAGAUAACAUCACACCUGUGCAAAGUGCUGAUCUCUUCUGCCAUUCACCAGCUGGUGGUUCAGUCAAGGCCCCCCUUUUUCCUUUUAAUUUUGAGAGUGUCAAUUAAAGAGAGAAAAAAAAAAAAGAAAUCCCAACACAUGAAUAGAUCCCGAUUUACGGCAAACUGAAAAUGAUACCCCAGUGUGUUAUGACUUUUUUUUUUUUUUUGUAUCAGUGGAAAAGGGGUUUAUGAAAGAGUUUCCCCAUAUUACACAGAUCAAAUUUUUUGUUGGAGUUUGUUAUUCCAAAUCUUCAUUAGACACUCAAUAGAUAAUUUAGACUUCUGAAAGACCACAAGUGGUCUGCAGCUUCUGAACCCAAGGCUGCUCUCUCACUUCAAGCACUUGAAAAUAUAUUUUUGUGAUAUGUAUACAUAAAAAAUGAAAUUUGCAAUGGAAAGUGAAAUCCCAGAAGGUCUACGUCUCAAGAGCUAAUGGGAUUUAUAAAUCCCAUUUUCACAUGCCACUUUUAUACACCAAAAACACAUGAACCCAUUUUCUGACUAUUUCCAGACUUUUACAUCAGCUGCAUGUUUUGAUCUCCUUUUUUUCCCCAGUAGAACUUCUUUAUGCUUAUUAGGUAGAUGCAAAUCAUCUAUGAAUAUUAAGUAACGCAGAAAUAUAGAGAUAAUACAUGACUUCCACUGAUCUCCAAGUUACUACCAUAUCCCAUAGACUUCGAGCCAUGCUCUUGUAGGAAAAGAAAAUUAAGGUGGCUGCUCAGUCUGCCUAUGAGAAACAGGUGUGGGAACUGGGGCUUGUGUGUGAGCCUGAGAAGAAGAGUGUCUUAGCUGCUACUAAAGGAUGGAAAUACCUGCUGGCAGGUCAAACAGAAUGCAAAAUCCGUGCUAAAAUUGAAAAAGAGCAUUGAGGUACAUGACCCAAGCAUGGGAAGAACAGAGUGCUUCUGAAAGUAAAACCAGGACAGUACUGGCCUGGGCAGUCAGUGAGCAGUCCAGCAAUAUUUUGACAGGAAUCAUCCUUCUAAUAUUCAAACUGAAAAGUAACUUAUGUGUCCGGUAAAGAUCAAUAAGAUAAGAGUAUCUGAAAACUUCAGCCUAUCAAUUACUUGAAGAUAAAAACCCAUUUAUAUAAGAAAAUGUGUACAACACUUGGGCUAAGUGAAGGUGAUACAUACCUUCCCUCCAAAGUGAUGAGGCUAGCAUAACUAUUUUUUUCAUAAGCAAGUAAAACCAUCUACCUGGAAAGCAAGUAAAACCAUCUACCUGGAAAGCAAGUUUGGGCAUCAUGUAUGCUCAACUAAUUGAGAGAAGUCAAGAUGUGAAGGCCCUGGUCCCAGACUGGUACUGAGGACCUGCUGGAGGAUGAAAGCACUUGGGUAAGAUGCAGAACCAAACCUCUACCCUCUGCAAGUGUCACCUCUUGAGGACAAGGGCAGGGAACAGCAAAGUGUUCAAAGAGAUCAGGUAAGACUUGGCUGGUACCUGCUAACACUGGUGCAAUGGAAAGCUGGAAGAAGACAUGAGACUGGUGACAGCACCCUCCCUCAAGAGUGUGCCCAUGCUCAGUUAAUGUGCUUCCUUGAUCUUUCUGCAAAGGAGGAAAAAGAAGUAUUUGUAUCCAGAGAAGAGGCACCCAUUUUUUUUAGUCAGGCAGGCCAAUACAAUAAGAAUGAAGCUGGCCACUGCUAUGUGAUAUCUCACAUAGCCCUUCUAGUGUUCAAAAAUGCCUCAGGAGAGCUUCAUCAAUGAUUUUUGGUCCAAUUAAGUCACUUGAAUGCACUGAAAAAAAUGGGAUUAAGAACAUUUUUUAAAUCAGAAAUGGUUUCUUUGAAUUGUAUAUAUUUUCUAAUUCCCUUGAUUAAUUUUAAAAGAUCAAAUUUAUAAUUGUACUAAUCUGUUGUUAAUAUUUAAUAAAGAAAGGGGUGAUUAAAAGUUUUCCCUCUCAACAGAAUUAUUUUCAUACCAAACUGUCUUGUCAAGAACCCACAAAGCUGAACUUUUCCUUUCAGAUUAAAGUACUUCAAAGUACUUCUUUCUUUUCCUUUUCUGCUCAGUCACCAAACCAGGAGGAAGAACCCCAUUCCAUUAGCAAUCCCACCUAGAGGGUAGGCAGCAGAGAAUAAUCUGUUGUAUGAAAGACUGCCUUGUGUGAUGCUGACUGUACAGAGGAGACAAGGGAUGAACAAACCAGACCCACAUGGAACUUCUCCAUGCCUCUUCCCCCAGCCCUUCUGCUGACUCAGUCCUGUCACUCAAAUCAUAUAAUUUCCCACACUGAAAGCAGUUUCCAGAAUGCUGUUUAGCUGUUGCUUCAGCUGUAUCACUUUUACAUACAAACUUUCUUCUACUUGCCGUCUCAAAUGUGCUACAUACUGCAGGGCAUUGGCAGUGCAGGCAUUAUCCAGUUCUAGGGGGAGUGCUAUAAAUUUAAGUCUGACUAUCUCCAUCAGCCGUUUACCUUGGUAGAGAAUUUCCACUGAACACACCUGCGACAAAUCUCUUUUCUCCUUCCCUUUUCUUGGAUUAUGAGUCAAAUAAAACACAGCCUAUGACAUUAAUGGUCUUGUAAUAUUGGUUGAACUACCUGGAUGCUAGGAAACAUUACAGCUGAGGUCAUUUUUCCAAACAGUGUAUUGAAUUACGGGUUUCCAUUUGCUUUUUGUUUUGCUUUUUCCUGUGGGACCCAUUUGUACACUGAACAAAGUAGGAGCUUGCUUGGUACAGUGUUUUAUCUCACCUUCAUUGUCUUGUCUGACCACACCAUUUCUGUUCUGUUUUUUUUUUCUUUUUAUGAAAAGAAAACUGUUGCUUCUUUUGUGUUUUUCUGCACACACUAAUGUCUGAGUACAUAAAAAUAGGUGUACAUUUACUGCCACAGAAAUCUGGUGUUGAGGGACUUUUGCUUUCUCUUCCAUUCUAGGUGGAGGAUAAAGAGAAACUGAAAUGUGAGAGCAUCCAUUCAUGGCAUGGUCAGCAUCAGACAGCACUAUUGCUUUACGAGCCAAGCUCUUCAUCUGGGUUUACCUGCUUCACAGUUUGCCUCUAGGUAAGGGAUGCGCUAUCCUGAGGUUCUUGCAUGAUAAUUUUUCUUCUUCUUAUCUGGAUUCCAGUUUCAAUUCAUCUUAUAUGCUGGCUUCAUGUGAAGAUGUAAAAGCUAUAUGAAGUGAGGGCCAUUAUUUUCAUCCGUUUUUCAGAUUUCUCAAAUACUGGAGUAGUUGGUUCAUAAGGACAGGAUAAAUGCUAUGUCACUGUUUUUUAUUUGCUAUAAUCAGUCAGCAUCUGAAACAAAACCAAACAUACUUUGGAUUGUUCUUUUUUUUUAAGAAAUAACCAGGAAUAAAGGAAUAACUAAGCUACAAAAAUAUUAAGGUUAGGUACAACACUAGCAUUAAUAGAGCCUCCUUAGGCUGAGGAAGGCUAACUGAAGGAUGCACAAACAUAGACAGGAUUUCUUCAAGGCACACAUGCCACUAAAGAAAAUACUCCCACUUCAUAGUGCAGACAGGCAAAAGCCAGACGUUUUAUUUAAGUUUAAAAUAACAAAUAUUCACCUACAAUCACAGUAUACUGCUUAGUUUAUCGCUUCUGCUUUGAAUUCUGUGCUUUCAUUUCACGUGUCUACAUUUUGCAUUUCUGUACACGCUGCAAAAGUAACUUUGUAUAUCAUUUAACAUCUGUGCAUAUCCUUUAGAGCUUAACAUGACACAGAAAUUAAAAUACAUUUUGAAUUUUAAGGUACUGAAAACAAUCAAUAAAGUUCCACAGAAAAAAAUAGUAUAAAUGUUUCUUAUAGUACAGUACUCUUAAUUUUAUGUCAGUGUCAUUUUAAUGCCAUAGUUUUCAAAUAUUGACUGUAUAAAGAGAAGACUAGGGCAAAAAUUAUCUAAAAUGCCUUUCCUAAGUCUGUUAGACUCUGUUGAUUUAUGAUAUAUGUACAGUAUAUAAAUAUAUUUAUGUAUAUAUGUACAUAUAUAUUGGUUAACAUUCAUUAUAAAUAGAACUGUGUUAACCUAAGCAGUAUAAAAAUAGCCACUUUCCUGGGAACAUGCAAACAUAAUAUGCUCUCACCUAAUCAAUAAAACUCAAAACAACCAAAACCUUUAGCUCUGAUUUUCUACAAAUAUAAAUUUCAAUUGAAGACUUUCAACUGAUUUAACCAUAAAGUAAGUUUUUCCAGUAAAGAUAUAAAAAAUUGUUUGAUGCUAGCUAUAAUUAAGCUCAAACACAGUAUAUUUUGGGUUAUUUACUUUCAAGUAUUUUUCCCACGUGCGCUAAAUCUAGACACACUGCAUUUGUUUUCUUUACAAUGAAUUAUUAUUUAGCUCUAAACACUAAAAGCCAAAUUACAGGCAAUCUGGCAUGCUUGCACUGCAGGUAAAAGGCUCUCCUCUACAUUGUUCCUGUGUGGGAGGCUGUCUAUUAUGGCUAUUUGUGCUCCAGAUCUUGUGUUCAUUGCAAAGCGUAACCAAGAUUCUCCUACUGUAAGAUUCUUAAGGCCAGAAGAGAAAGUACUACAACCACUUAAAUCUCAUCUCAUGCUCACUGAAAUUCACUCUGAGGUCCCUGCAUUCAG